AGGGAUAGCACUAUCCACAAUGGCCUGGGUCCUUCCCCAUCAAUCACCAAUUAAGAAAAUUCCCUACAGGCUUACCUACAGCAGAAUUUUAUGGAGGCAUUUUCUUAAUUAAGCCUCCUUUCUCUUAGAUGACUUUAGCUCCUGUCAAGUUGACAUAAAACUAGCCAGCACACUCACAAUCAUACCUUAUGCAUUCUAUAAUUUGAAGAAUCUAAGAAAAAGAUGAAAAAGAAAAUGUAGCUGCUACUGAUAAUGAUUUAGAUCUACUUCAAAAUGGAUUGUUUACUAUUCUCAUUACACCUCCAUACUAGGAAAGGUGUACACCAAUAAUGUUUACCAAAAAGUUAUGAUGAUUCCUUGUCCAGUCCUCAUAUAGUAAGAACUGGGGACUCAGGGCCCAGAUCUACUUCUUGGGGACAAAUUCAGGGCAGGGAAGACUGUGGGCUAUUUGGAGAUCUGAAAGCCCAAAAUAGGCAGUCAAGCAGGGUUUGAGUUGUACAUGCAAACUGUUCCAGGAACUCAUGACCAGAGAUCAUCCUGCUUCUUUACAAGUGGAGACAGCAAAGACC
rnacentral:lncRNA from 1 species